GGGAGACACACGGCGGGUGCUAACGUCCGUCGUGAAGAGGGAAACAACCCAGACCGCCAGCUAAGGUCCCAAAGUCACAGUUAAGUGGGAAACGAUGUGGGAAGGCACAGACAGCUAGGAUGUUGGCUUAGAAGCAGCCAUCAUUUAAAGAAAGCGUAAUAGCUCACUAGUCGAGUCGGCCUGCGCGGAAGAUGUAACGGGGCUCAAAUAUAGCACCGAAGCUGCGGCAUCAGUAGCAAUACUGUUGGGUAGGGGAGCGUUCUGUAAGCGGAUGAAGGUGAAUCGAGAGGUUUGCUGGACGUAUCAGAAGUGCGAAUGCUGACAUAAGUAACGAUAAAACGGGUGAAAAACCCGUUCGCCGGAAGACCAAGGGUUCCUGUCCAACGUUAAUCGGGGCAGGGUGAGUCGGCCCCUAAGGCGAGGCUGAAAAGCGUAGUCGAUGGGAAACGGGUUAAUAUUCCCGUACUUGGAUAAACUGCGAUGUGGGGACGGAGCAGGUUAGGUUAUCGCACUGUUGGAUAUGUGCGUUUAAGUUGGUAGGUGAGAAGUUUAGGCAAAUCCGGACUUCUAUCACACCGAGAGAUGAUGACGAGGCUCUACGGAGCUGAAGUAACCGAUACCACACUUCCAGGAAAAGCCACUAAGCUUCAGGUUUAUCUAAACCGUACUGAAAACCGACACAGGUGGUCAGGUAGAGAAUACUCAGGCGCUUGAGAGAACUCGGGUGAAGGAACUAGGCAAAAUAGCACCGUAACUUCGGGAGAAGGUGCGCCGGCGUAGAUUGUAGUCCCUUGCGGGCGAAGGUUGAACCGGUCGAAGAUACCAGCUGGCUGCAACUGUUUAUUAAAAACACAGCACUCUGCAAACACGAAAGUGGACGUAUACGGUGUGACGCCUGCCCGGUGCCGGAAGGUUAAUUGAUGGGGUUAUCCGUAAGGAGAAGCUCUUGAUCGAAGCCCCAGUAAACGGCGGCCGUAACUAUAACGGUCCUAAGGUAGCGAAAUUCCUUGUCGGGUAAGUUCCGACCUGCACGAAUGGCAUAAUGAUGGCCAGGCUGUCUCCACCCGAGACUCAGUGAAAUUGAAAUCGCCGUGAAGAUGCGGUGUACCCGCGGCUAGACGGAAAGACCCCGUGAACCUUUACUAUAGCUUGACACUGAACAUUGAAUUUUGAUGUGUAGGAUAGGUGGGAGACUUUGAAGUAGUCACGCCAGUGAUUAUGGAGUCGUCCUUGAAAUACCACCCUUUAACGUUUGAUGUUCUAACGAAGAUUACGAAACGUGGUCUCGGACAGUGUCUGGUGGGUAGUUUGACUGGGGCGGUCUCCUCCCAAAGAGUAACGGAGGAGCACGAAGGUUUGCUAAUCCUGGUCGGACAUCAGGAGGUUAGUGCAAUGGCAUAAGCUAGCUUGACUGCGAGCGUGACGGCGCGAGCAGGUGCGAAAGCAGGUCAUAGUGAUCCGGUGGUUCUGAAUGGAAGGGCCAUCGCUCAACGGAUAAAAGGUACUCCGGGGAUAACAGGCUGAUACCGCCCAAGAGUUCAUAUCGACGGCGGUGUUUGGCACCUCGAUGUCGGCUCAUCACAUCCUGGGGCUGAAGUAGGUCCCAAGGGUAUGGCUGUUCGCCAUUUAAAGUGGUACGCGAGCUGGGUUUAGAACGUCGUGAGACAGUUCGGUCCCUAUCUGCCGUGGGCGUUGGAGAAUUGAUUGGGGCUGCUCCUAGUACGAGAGGACCGGAGUGGACGCACCACUGGUGUUCCGGUUGUGUCGCCAGACGCAUUGCCGGGUAGCUAAGUGCGGAAGAGAUAAGUGCUGAAAGCAUCUAAGCACGAAACUUGCCAAGAGAUGAGUUCUCCCAGAUUUAAAAUCUGUAAGGGUUGU
rnacentral:rRNA from 1 species